rnacentral:rRNA from 1 species
CUCUUCGCUCCCACUGGACUGGACGUGCCUGAUCCUGUCGCUAAGCAGUCCCAGGCCCGGCUAGGACUUGGAUGGGAGAUUGCCUGGGAAUCUUGGGUGCCGAAGGUG